AUGGGGGACCAUGAGACUGUCAUCGAAAGGGAUGAGCAGAGAGAAAUUGAACAGAAGUUUGAGGAACUCUUGUUGGAUUACCAGAUCAGUGAAAAUGAAAGCCUGCAAGAUGUCACAUUUGAAGACAGGAUGAGAAACCUCCAGACUGAGCUGACAGUCCAAUACUUUAGAGAGAAGCACCUCUCCCUUUGGCCUCUUUUUACCUUAGAGAAUGCCAUCAUGUAUGAAGAUCUCUCUCUAACUGAGAGGUUCUGUAUCCUUAAGGCCGUGACAGAGGUAACACUGGCAGGCAACCCGGAUGCCGUCAAUGGGGAUGUCCACCAACUUGAGUGUGCCAAGAGGUAUAACUUCCACCUUAGUCUUCUUGAGCAUCUGAAUGGUUCAAAUUCCACUCUGGCAGGUAAACUUCUUUUGGCUUUUUUUGACACAUUUUCAGAUGUGUCUCAGACCAGCAGGGAGCUCCUUAGUCAAAUUCUCUUCAGUAACAUCUGGACACCUGUAGAAAUCCUGCUCUUUCUUCGUGGGGUUGGUUCCAUGGACCAGAAGAAAACAGAUGCAAUCCUUCAUACAGUGCAGACCUACAGGCUGGAUCUUCUCUCCACACUCUCUGCCCUUAGAAGUAAUGAUCCCAAUAAGACUCUGCAAGGUUAUGCAGAAGAAGAAACUGACAAAGAUAUUGACACCAUUUUGAGUGAGAUGCGGGAUGCAAAUUACCCCGAAAAGUUACUCUCUAUAAUGGAGACUGUCUUAGGACAUAUAGAAGAGAAGCUUUCAAAAGAUCCCAUGGUAGACACACAGAAGAAACUGAGCAAGAGAGAAAAAAUGGAAAUGAUCAAAGACUUCAAGAACAAAAUUAAAUUGUUGAAUUUUGCUGAGGCAGACAACACUAUCCUCAAGGAAGUUCUUAUUACAAUGUGUAUUGCUGUUAAAGACUGCACAGCCGUUUCCACUCAAAGUGGAGAGCAAAUCAAGGGAUAUUUUCCCAGACUCACCCAGCUGGCAUCAUUAGUCAUGCUCCUUCUACCAAAGGCAACAUCAGAUAAAGGAUGCCUCUUAGAAAUUGGCACAGGAGAAGGAAAGUCUUGCAUUCUAGCUAUGUUUGCAGCAAUCCAGGCCAUCAGAGGGGCCACAGUCGACAUUGUGACCAGUUCUCCAAUCCUUGCACGACGGGACGAAGAGGAGUGGAGAAAACUUUUUGACAUGUUUGAUAUCACAUCCUCCGUUGUGCCUCCACCGUUGAUGAAGGAGAGCAGCCUUAAAAGCUGUGACAAAAUACUACAGGACGCUUACAAAAGACAGAUUGUGUAUGGAACUGUAAGUGACUUUGCAGCAGACACUUUGAGGCAGGAAUUUGAGAAAAACACCACUCGUGGGGAGAGGAAGUUUGACUUAGUGAUUGUGGAUGAAGUAGAUUACAUGACCUUGGACAGUGGAGUGCAGGUGACCUUCCUGUCUCAUGAAGCCAGCGGCCUUAGGCACGUUGAGCAAGUCCUUGCUAGCAUUUGGUGCAUGAUAUCCGUGUGUCGGCCUAUUCGAAUGGAAGAAACGGGGGAGACUGAGUGGAUAACUGGGAUACAGCAUUUUCACAAGGCUGCAAAGAUGGCUGUUAUGGGCUCAGACAGAUCUGAACACUUUUCUGAAUUUAAUAUUCUGCAAACAGGGUUGCAGUUUGGAUUUUACACACAGGAAGACAUUGAUACAUUGAUGCAGAGUGAAAGUGAGGCACAAAGAGAUGGUAAAGCUGAUGAUUUUCAAGAUGAGAAUUGGAAAGCUAUUGAGGUGUUCAUGACUAAAAUUGGAGUGGAACAACAAUAUGAUCUGCUCAGUAUUCUUGAGACGGCAUUAGAUCAAACUGUUUUCAUCGACUGUUACACAUUAACAAAUAAUAAAGCCACAUCAAUUGGAGAGAAAAAAAGGGACAGUGACAUGAAAAUCAAAAUGCUUCUCCUCAACAAUGGACGAGCUAGUGAAAUAAUGUCUGAAAAAUCACUAAUUGAUGCAGUUGUUCUUGAGAUACAAUCUAAAAUCAUAUAUUCUGACCAAUGUCAGCCAAACUCAGAGGAAACCGAUAACUAUAUUGUGAUCCCCUUCUUCCUUAAGAAGUACAUUGAGAAUCGGAUGCCAGUCUUUGUGGGAAAUGCCUUAAAAGCUAUUGCAAUGAAACAAGGCAGAGAGUACAUGAUUGGCAUGUCUUCUGACGCUAAUCCAAGCACUGUCAGUGAGUCUGACAAACAUUUCUACCAUGCCAUCAUCCCAGUGGACUACCAGGCCAGUGGAGUACUGGAAAAGAACAAACGCUGGGGUGACGGCCUUCAACAGUUUCUAGAGAUGAAGCACCAGUUGGCCAUAUCAUCGCUAUCCAAUGUUACAAAUUAUAUGUCAAAUAUCCAUUACUUUAAAAGAUACCUUAAAGGGAGUGGCAUAUUUGGUGUUUCUGGAACAUUAGGUGGAAAUGCAGACAAACACUUCUUGAAAAGCCAUUACAAAUCAGACAGCUAUACGAUACCUUCUCACAGGCACAAUAAGGUAGUUGAACUCCCCGCUCUUCAGGUAAGCGGUGAUGACUUAAAAUGGAUAGAGGUAGUCUGUGAAAGUGCAUUGAAAGCUGCCGACAGGAACCAGGUCGUCUUGGUGGUUUGUGAGGAUGUUAAGACAGCAAAUGAAUUACAGGUGGCAAUGGCCAACCGAAGAGCAAAUCAACGACAUCCAAUCACCAUGUACACAAUCAGUGAGAGAGACAACAUUGAGCAAACCACAUUCAGUGGGGGAAGCAUCAUUAUCGCCACCAAUCUGGGAGGACGUGGCACAGACAUUAGAUUGGAGCAGAAAGUGAAUCAAUGCGGCGGACUCUUUGUCCUUCUCACGCACUUUCCUGACAAUCGCAGAGUGGAGAAACAGGUGUUUGGACGCACAGCCAGAAAAGGAAAUUCCGGCAUGGUACAAAUGAUACUCCAUUGUGACCAACUGGCACCAGCGUACCAGGGCCAGCCUGUGGAGAUCAUGAGGCAGCUAAGAGAGGAUCAUGAAAUCCAACGCAUCACUGGUAUGGAGACAAAUGAGCUGCAGGAAAUUGAAAGGAAGGAAAAAUUAUUUUCAACAGUUUGCCAAUUUCUUGACAAUUUUGACAGCAACUACUCAGAAAAAGAGAGAGAGAACCUGUUGACAAUAAAGGUGGAGGAACAUAGUUUCAGACGUCAAGGCGAUAAGCUUGAUUACCAGCCAGCACUCAAUGCUCUGAAAGAAUCCUGGGCAUUGUGGUUGACCCUUCAUGAGACCCAUAUCGAGAAGGAUGAUGAUAUCUCUGACUUGGAAGCAGACUUACUUCAACAAUUGACAAACACAAGGAACAUGAUGUUGAAAGGACAAAGCCGAAAUUUCUAUGACCAUCUGAAGCAGGCUGUUGUUAGAACCAACCUGCACUGCCGUGAUAAAACCAAGUGGGACUAUGAUGCAAAAUCUUCCUGGCAGAAAGCUGCAAAAUGUGACCCCUUUUACAGAGCAGUGGCGCUAUACAACCAAGCUUACAUCACAAUUAACCUGGCAGAGAGUGACCAUAAAACAGAGGCUAGUAAAUUACUGCAGGAAGCAAAAGACACACUAGGUAUCUAUAUCUCUGAAACAACAAACACUUUGAAUGCAUGUCAGAUGGCAAUGAGGGGCAACUUUGAGCCACAUCAUGAUGGUGUCUGCAAUUUCCAAAGUCAGAUGCAAUCUAGGAUGAAUAUUUUCCAAGCAUGGCUGGGAUACAUUAACAGUACACUGAAAAAACUUGCAGAGCUAAAGAACAGUAAAAGUAGCGCCAUAACAGAGGAUUCCUCAGUGUAUGCACUCUCAGACGGGACAGACUAUGUCACCACAAAUGAACUCAUGGGCCUGUAUGAGUACGGCCUUGGCAUGGUGUUCGAAGUAAAAGAGAAGCCAAGGUUCAACAUUGAUGCUCUUGUGUGUUUUUUACUGGGUGCAUGUCAGGUUCUGGCUGGAGUUCUUGUUUGUGCUCUGUCCUAUGGCUCCGCCUCCCAGUUUGGUCUUGCCUUGAUCUCAGAGGGAGUGUCUGACAUGAUCAGUGGGUGUGAUGGCAUGAUAACUGGCAGUUUCAGUUGGGCAUCGUGGGCCAUCUCCAAAAGCAUCGGUAUUGGGAUAUCUUUGCUCACUUCUGGAUUUGGCACCAUCAAGAGAGCUGUCCAGUCUGUAUAUAAAGCCACAAAAGGCUUGCUAACAGGUACAAAAACCCUGUCAUCUGUUGCAAAAGGUGUCAUUAAAUCAGGGAAACAUGCAUUCAUGUCUUUCAAAGGCAGUGUCACAGCGGUCUCCUCUCUGUCCCUAGGUACAGUGAAGAAGCUGGGCACGAAAACUGUAGUCAAACAGACUUUCAAACAUGCAACCAAGUAUGCAGGACAGGAAAUGGCUAAGCAGAUAGUUACCCACACAUUGCAUUACUUCAUUGAUGCAGGGCUUCAAGCUGUACUGAAGGAGAUUUUGAACAAGGCUUUCAAGGAUUCAAUCACCUCUGUAGUUAAAGAGAAUGAUGCAUUGAGUCACACUCUCACAGAGCUUGUAUGUGCUGGAGUUCCAAAAUCAGCUUUACAGAAACAAGCUGCUGAGUUCAAGAUAGACAGGGAGUGUGAAAAAAGUAUUAAAGAUUUAGUAAAAUCAGUGACAGAAAAAAUUAUUUCUGAUCUUAUGAUAGAUUGCAGCACAGUGCAUGAGAUCAUUGACAGAGUCUCUCAGGUGUGUAGCAAAGCGUCAGACCUUAUGGACAACGCAGGAGUGCCUGGAAAAGUCCAAACUGCUAUCUCUGCAAGCCUCUGCAUAGCAGAGUUCAGUACAGUGCUAGUCCAAAUGUUGAACUCUAUCCCUACAGAAAAAUGUAUCAAUGACAGAUUCUCUUCCAAGUUGAUAAAAGAAAUUCAUGCGCAACUGCCAAAUGGGUAUGACCAGGAUGGCAGACACAGACUCCUUGAUGUGGGACGCCUGAAGAAUGAGCUCCUCGAGGGCAUCUCAGAGAAUGUCUCCCAGGAAUUUAUUGAGUCCUGUGCCAGACACAUGAACUCCUUGAUAACACAUAUUUUUAAGGAAAAGAUCAAUAAAGUCACGAACGCCAUUGGCAAUACCACUAGCAACAUGCUUGGCAGGUACAAAACGGAAAACUAUUUCGUAGAGCAGAAGCAGAGGCAUGACAUGAAAUCAGCCAGUAAGCAUGCAGGGGAGUCUACAUGUGAGAUUGAACAGUCGGACCUCCAUCAUUACAUCAAUAACAUCAGUGAUAUUGACCGCCCUGCUUCAGAGCUGGACAUCUAUGUCCUUACAAAGAGUGACCUACUCCAGGGCCAAGGCAUCAGGGUCAAGGUAGUGGAUAAACAUGGGAAACCACUCGAUGAGCAAUCCUACCCAGGCACUGACUGCUCAGCAGGAUACAUCACACUCAAACUGACCAUGGAGCCAGAGACAGCUAAAAGUGAGAUGGGUCUGUUAUCUCACAUACAAGACCGAAUCCAAGGUGUUCAAACUGCGUACAGCGGCCAUUUUACCAUUGUUCAACCAGAUGGAUGUGAGACCAGGGUGAUGUCAGAGGGCCAGAAUUGCAUGUACCAUGCCUUAAUCCAGGCAACAUCCAGAAGCCAGGAGCAGGACAUCAAAGAACAGGCAAGGAUUCUGCGCAAAAAAGUACAAAGCGAGGUUCAGGAAAACCUCCCAACCUACUGUGAGUUAGUAAAACUCCAGAAGCGCUAUGAUAAUGUUAUGGAUCCUGGAAAAUAUUCCAUAUUGGGAGGGGUAAGGCCAGAAAAGAAGAUUAUCAGCCAGGACUACAGGGAUGCCAUCGCACCUAUGACGGAAACCGACUAUAUCAUUGCCCAGCUUUACGACCUUGGUUAUGUUGCCACAUACAAAGAGUAAAGUAGUUUCAUCUUCAUUUGGAUACCGAUUGCAUAGAUGAUUUAGAGACACUCAGGAUACAAUUGUAAAAGAAAUGAGUUCUCUAAUCAUAUGAAAAUGAAUUUAGAAAUGUAUUAUUUCUACACUCAGGAAAUGUCUUCAAAAUAUCAAUAAAGGUAAUGUUUCAAUAUUCAAGACUGUUUCGAAGACUCUUAGCUGCUUGAUACUGUACAUAUGGCCCCUGAUAUGUCUCAUGCACUUUCUUUUUCUCUUCCCUCAAAAGUGUAAGAAACACCAUAUUGUCUGGAAGGUACGCUGUGGAAGCCGACCACAUCAUACCAAAGGACACAUUAAGGAAGGCACUAGUACACCGUGACUUGGAAAAACUCAAGAGUAAGAAUUCACAACUUUAUGCUCUAGUAACAAGUAUUCAAUCGGACCCAAAUGGAAGAUGCCACCUUGUCAUGCAGGUUCUCUACCAACAUCACCGCACUGCCUUGACAACUGGCAAUUGCAUGGAGGCCAAACUGUGCAGGUGAGUCAGCAGGUGUGAGAUGUUUGCGUGCAUGUACAUCUGCACUGGGCGUGCAAGUGAAUCUGUUUCAGAGUACAGUGGAUUUAUUUAUGAAAGCAUGAAUAAGAAUAUGUCCCUUUUUAACCUUAAAGUCUUAUAGAAUGUUGCCCACCCAUCCCUGGUCCCUCUCUCUGCCCCAUUUCCCAACAGGGCACUGCUGGCUGACACACUCGUAAGUGGGAAUGCUGAGAAGAUGCUGAAGCAGGCCAUGAUUAUGGCCAAUCCUGUGUCCUCCCAGAAGCUUAGGGAUUAUGCAGGUAUCGACAUCACAAGCUUGUCUACUGCUGUCCAUUCCCUACUGCUCUGUUUAUUCCAUGUUGCUCCAUGCAUUCCCCACUGCUUAAUCCAUUCCCCACUGCUCUAUUCACUCUCUUAUUCAACAUCCAUUCUCUACUCCAGUGCUCUUUAAUUCUAUGUAACUGCUUAAAUUUGGAUGAGUAUUUUUAUUCAGAGGACUUACCAGUUUAUUGUACAUGUUUACCCUACACCUAGGCCUCAGAAACCGCUCGUCCAUUGGAAAACAUCAAGACUUUUCAGAAAAUGGGACGAACUGCUACUACAAAGCUGGGUUCAUGAAUGUGUUCAGUGAGUAUCUGAAAAUUGGCAUCAUUGACCAGAACCAGCAUACGAGGCUAAAGUCAUGGGCCAAAGAAAACAGGCACCAGGACACAAACACAGAGGAGUUUAGAGAGAUACAAAGAAUAGUCGAAGGACAACAAGGUGAGAAAUCGAGGAAACGGGUGAGAGGAAACAUGCUCGGACCACAGACACAUCAAAGCCCCUGACAAAGUGGGAACAUUCUCUCUCCCUGUAUCCUAUAGUCAUUUACACAGAAUUUAGAUCAUGCAUUUAAUUAUGUUUGUAAAGGAAAAUAAUGUAGACAUCAGCUGUAUAUUGAUGACCAAUGUAGGGUCUUUGUAAGCCCGAAUGUCACAUGCUGGAGAAUGGUGAAUGAUUUCUUAUGUUUCUUCAUGAGGGACUUGGUUUUCUAUCUGUUACAUAAAAAAGGAAAAGACCCGACUCUCUGUUCAAGUCAUAGGCCUCUCUCCCUCAUCAAUAUUGACAUGAAAUUGUACGCCAAGGUUCUAGCCAAACACCUUGAAACUAUUUUGCAAAAACUAGUUCAUCCUGGUUUGUCAAAUAUCGAUUGGCGUCAGACAAUUGGAGACGUCUCCUACGUAUAAUACAAAUUACACCUGAUAUACCAUCCUCCUGUGCAGUCCUGUCAAUUGAUGCAGAGAUGGCCUUUGACUGUCUCGGGUUGGGUCUACCUCUGGUAAACUAUGGAACAUAUGGGAUUUGUUUAUGACUAUGUUGAAGACACUGUAUAGUAACCCCUCUUUAAUGGUCUUGAGAGUGUGAUGGAAAUGUGAUACAUUUGCUUUUCUUAUAACUAAUUUCUGUGUUCUAUUCAUGUGCUGUUCUAUAAACCAAUUUCUGUGUUCAUGCAAGUGACUGACUGAACGAACCCUCACUAUCAGUAACUGCAAUUUAGCAGUACGUCCAGACCUUGUUUUGAGAAUGAAAGACGUCUCAGCUUAGAGAGAAGAAGCCUCGUGAGGUAUUCGUUAUGAACCAGUAUUGGUCGGUCAUGUGAAUGAAACAAAACACAAAUAAUUAAUUAAUUAUGCUAAAUCAUGCAAAUGUAACUUGUAUGUGUAUAGCCGUAUAUAAGACAACUGCUGGGACAGCCCAGGCAGAGCUUCUGACCGACGUUCACAAUGGUAUGCUGACAAAUAAACAUUGAUUAAUUUAAGAUUUACUUCGAGGGUCCCUGUGUAAAAUUCCACAACAAUGUGUAACCAGUGCUCCUCAGUUUUCCAUCAAACGGUGAUCUCAUCAAGGCUGUCCAGUGUCCAGUCUCCUAUUUGCCAUAUCACUGGCACCUUUUGGAAGAAAUAAAAAUGUCAAUCCUACUUCAAUCGAGUACAGGCUUAACUGAAUGACAGAGACAAAAUGCAAUCUAGAAUUUUAUUGAAUUGUUUGGGGUAGACCUCAUCUCUGAGGAAUGCUCCUUGGCAUCAGAUGCUGAUGACAGGUUACCUUAUGCUAGGGCAGUUGGCAUCAAAACCCCCCAAAAAUAAAUACGUUACUCACCAGGGAGAAGGGACACAUGGAGCAAUGGUUGGAUAUUAAGACACUGGUAAAUAGAUGUAAAAGAGAUGCAUGCAAAGACUAGAACAAAAGUGCAAUUAUACUGUAUACUGUAAUGUAAAGUAUUAUAUGAAAUGUUUGUUAAUUACAUCUAACCAACCACACAUGAUGUAAUGCAAUAUGUAUGAUUAACGUGAAACUACAGCUGAGCUUUGAACCCAAUAGUGCAGAUCUUCAACCAAAACAUAAUAUUAGAUAAAAUAAAUCUGAAUGAACAAAUAAAACAACAAUUACAUAUUUAAUUUAUUUCAUAAACAAAGUUAUGCAACACCUAAUGCCCCUGUGUGAAAAAGUAAUUGCCCCCUUACACUCAAAAACUGGUUGUGCCACCUUUAGCUGCAAUGACUGCAACCAAAUGCUUCCUGUAGUUGUUGAUCAGUCUCUUGUGUCGCUGUGGAGGUAUUUUGGCCCAUUCUUCCAUGCAUAAUUGCUUUAACUCAGUGACAUUUGUGGCUAUUCAAGCAUGAACUGCUCGUUUCAAGUCCUGCCACAACAUCUAAAUUGGGAUUAGGUCUGGUCUUUGACUUGGUCAUUCCAAAACGUCAAAUUUGUUGCUUUUUGACCAUUUUCAUGUAGACUUGAUUGUGUGUUUUGGAUCACUGUUUUGCUGCAUGACACAGCUGCGCUUCAGCUCACAGAUGGAUGGCCUGACAUUCUCCUGUAGAAUUCAUGGUUCCUUCUAUUAAGGCAAGUUGUUCAGGUCCUGAGGCAGCAAAGCAUCCCCAAACCAUCAUACUACCACAACCAUGCUUGACCGUUGGUAUGAGGUUCUUACUGUAAAAUACAGUGUUUGGUUUUUGCCAGACAUAAUGGGACCCAUGUCCAAAAAGUUAUGUCCAUAGAACAUUCUUCCAAGGUGCUUCCAAGUGUUUUUCCACUCAAUUGUCCAGUGUUGGUGAUCGCGUGCCACUGGAGCCGCAAUAGCCCAUCCGUGACAAGGACCGGCGAGUUGUGUGUUCCGAGAUGCCGUUCUGCACACAACUAUUGUAUUGCGCUGUUUUUGCCUGUUUGUGGCCCACCUGUUAGCUUGCACAAUUCUUGCCAUUCUCCUUUGACCUCAUCAACUAGUUGUUUUCGCCCACAGGACUGCCGCUGACUGGAUGGAUUUUGUUCAUCGCAGAAUUCUCGGUAAACCCUAGACACUGUCUUGCAUGAAAAGACCAGGAAGCAGGACGUUUCUGAGGUACUGGAACCGGCGCGCAUGGCACCGAUGAUGAUGAGGAUACCAUACUUAUGUUGGUUAGGUCAUUAGUUUUGCCCAUUCUAAGAUUCAAUCAAACAGUAACUGAAUGCCUUGAUGCCUGUCUUCCUGCUUUAUAUAGCAAGCCAACGCCAUGUGACUCACUGUCUUUAGGAGCUAACCAUUUUCUUGAACCAGGUGGUGUACCUAAUAAACUGACAAAGAGGCCUCCCAC
rnacentral:lncRNA from 1 species